CUAGUUUGAUACUUAAGAUGAGGUGACCUUGGUUAGCAUGUGGUCUUCUGAACAGGUUUGACAGUGCAUGAAAAUAAGUUCUGGUCCAACAGAGACAAAUAUUUCUAAACCAGCAGACAGUGGAGCUCUCCAUUAUUGAUUAGAAGGGUAUUACAACAUCGACAUUCAGGAAAACCUGGCCUUAUUAACAUGUAGAGGCCUUUCAUCUAAGAUCAUACCACCAGUUGCAAUCCAGAACCUAGAUUUCAGCACCACUAAAUAGUAAAUUCAUAGGCCAUUAGUUUUACGUCCAGGAUCCCUCUUCAACUGAAAAUUUAUCAGACAAUGAUUGUACCGUUAUAUCUGGAUCUCAAGACAGUUACGUAACAGUUACUUAGCCUUUACAGUCAACCACUUCUACUAGACUAAGUAGACACAGACUGAUGAAAGUACUAAGGUGGAUCCCAGUUUAACUGAGAAGUAACUAAGCUUGCAGACCAGCAGUUGUGCAUAACUAUUUGCAUACCAGCUCCUAUGAAAUUGUAUGUUGUGUUUAAAAGAUAGCUUUUCGAUACAACAAUAUGAAUCUGAAUUAGAAUAAUGGGCCUCGCAGCGCAAUUCUAUUUAAACAAAGAAGUUGAGAUUUUAAAACCAGUAAAUUUAGAAUCACCUGUAGUGAUUAGCAACUUCUUUUAUUCUUUGGAUUAUGUGGAUGUUUUUUGUAUUUUUUUUAAAUUUGAACCUAAGAUGGAAACCUUCAGAUAUUGUUAUGUUUUUUUUAUCUCACACCAGUACAAAGAGGGCAAGAUGAACUCAUAACAGCUUGUCUAAUCAUACAUAACACAUAAUGAAUGUACAAAUUAUAUAUGUCAUACUAUGUCUUUCACUCUGUCAGUUCAUAUACUGCCAUUUGUUUAUUCAUGACUAUGAAUACUCAGGGAUUAAUCAGAUUCAUUAUGUUUUACAUAACAUGCCAUUCUUAUAUCUCAUUUUGUACAUACAUGUACAUAGCAUAGACAAUACAUUUUUAAUUGAUAUGUAAGUAUACUGUCUAUAAUUCUGUAGCAGUUUCAUCCUCAAUUGAUGCCAAGCAUUUUGUUACAUCACUCAGGGAAUACACAUCUCAUGUCAUAUUAUCAUAUACUAGUACCUGUUUUAAUUGGUAGCACAGCUUUAGGCUUGGAGAAAAAAUGAGCUUACAGAAGUGUAAAUAUAUUCCUCCUCUAGCCUGUUAUUUAUUUUUAGUUCUUGUUUGUAUAUUAAGAUUUGAACGUGUUUUCGAUAUUGUUUUGUACAUAAACAUGCAUUGUUUAAGUUGAAUUACAUGUAAAUAGGUUGUCUAUACUCGAUAUAUCUUGUGUUUGGUUUUAUUGGCUCGACUAUUCGAAGAAUAGGGGAGCUAUCCUACUCGCCCCGGCAACGACGUUAGCGUUAGCGUGGGCGUCACACAAAUGUUAAAGUUUGUGUACCAUCCCAAAUAUUUUCAAAGUCCAUUGAGAUAUUGCUUUAAUAUUUUGCAUACUUGUUAACCAUCAUGACCCCAGUCUGUAAAAAGGAGGAGGCAACUCUAUCAAGCAUUUUGACUGAAUUAUGGCCCCUUUUUGACUUAGAAUAUGCUUAUUGUAAUGUUAAAGUUUUACUCAUUGCUUAUAUUAUACUAUCAUGCACUGAGAAUAGUCGAGCGCGCUGUCCACUGACAGCUCUUGUAGUAAGGAAAUACAGAUUGUUGUGUUAUUAUGUAGCAGACCGCAUUGUAAAUGAGAUAUAGUUGCAUACUUACCUUAUCGAUAUGAUUUUUGUCGAGCCUGCUUGCGGAAGCGAAGACAUAGUUGUCCAAAUGCCUGUUCGGGGUAGUCCGUGCGUGCGUCCGUGCGUCUGUCUGGAUUUGUUUGUCCAUAUUUUUUUGCAUAAAUGUUUGCCUCAAUGAGACAAGGAGUGUCAUGUGCAACUCCCAGUCCUUUCGACAGCUGGCGGGCUCGACAUGUUGCCCGUGGGCAUCUAGUUUAAAAAAAAAAUUACACAGGUGCAUUUUAACGUUGUGUCCAUGGUAAAUUUUGUGCAAAUCUUUGUCACCUUUCAGAUCUAUUAACAAGGGACAUAAAUACAAAACACUUUUUUUUGUCUUUCAAUUGAAGUAAAGAGAUUCUGGUUAGGGAUUACAUUACGAAAAGCUUACAAAUUUCCUUUGACCUCCACAUCCUAGAAAUAUUUAAUGGUUUUAUAUUGCUUUUAAAAGAGCAUAGUUAUUAAUGAUGGUUUUAAGAUGUAAAAGUUUUAAAAUGCAUUCAUCUUAUGAAUUGGAUAUAGUUACAAUGUUUUAGAUAGUUCAGCAAUGCGUAAAAAAUAAGGAAAAUCAAUGUUAAUCAUUUGAAAUGCAAAAGUAAAAAUUAGACGAAAAUAAGUAAUUAUAAAGAAUUUGCAAAUUAAUGUCUUUUUAAGAUAAAAGCGGAUCUGCUUUGGUGCCUUCUAUGCUUCGAAAGUGUCUUUUCACAGAUUGUAAUAUUUCAUUUUGGUUUCCAUAAUGUCUUUUAAACUGAGAUGUGUUUUUAAAUACAUAUUCUGCUGAUGAUAUGAUACACUCUUAUAGCUUUCCAUUAUACUGCCUUUCAGCAAUUUAUAUUGGUGUAAAGUUAUAUUGCAUUGGCUAUUGCACAGACUAUAGUAUACAACAUUGACUUCCCCUGUCAGCUGUUCUGAUUAUGAUUUUUUAUAGAUUUUAACUUCCCUCAAGAAAUAUACUCUUCUAAAUUUUGAUGUUGGAAAUUAUUUGAUUGUCUUCAUAUAUGCAUUUUUAUUAGCUCACCUGAGCACUAAGUGCUCAAAGAUGAGCUUUUGUGAUCGCCCUGUGUCUGUCGUCUUCCGUCAUCAGUCAUCCGUCGUCAACAAUUUGACUGUUAACACUCUAGAGGUCACGAUUUUUGCUCAAACUUAAUGAAACUUGGUCAGAAUGUUACCCUUAAUAAAAUCUUGGACAACUUUGAUAUUGGGUCAACUUGGGUCAAAAACUAGAUUACCAGGUCAAAAAAUGGAAAAGCUUGUUAACACUCUAGAGGUCACAAAUUUGGCCCAAUCUUAAUGAAACUUGGUCAGAAUGUUACCCUUAAUAAAAUCUUGGACAAGUUUGAUAUUGGGUUAUCCGGGAUUAAAACUAGGUCACAAGGUAAAUCAAAGGAAAAGCUUGUUAACACUCUAGAGGUCAAAUUUUUGGCCCAAUCGUAAUGAAACUUGGUCAGAAUAUUACCCUUGAUAAAAUCUUGGAUAAGUUCGAUAUUGGGUCAUCUGGGGUCAGAAACCAGGUCAUCAGGUCAGAUCAAAGGAAAAGCUUGUUAACACUCUAGAGGUCACAAUUUUGGCCCAAUCUUAAUGAAACUUGGUCAGAAUGUUACCCUUAAUAAAGUCUUGGACAGGUUUGCUAUUUGGUCAUCCGGGGUCUAAAACUAAGUCACCAGGUCAAGUCAAAGGAAAAGCUUGUUAAUACUGUAGAGGCCAGAUUUAUGACUGUAUCUUCAUGAAACUUGGUUUGAAUGCUAAUUUUGAUGAUUACAAGGUCCAGUUUGAAUCUGGAUCAUAUAAGAUCAGAAACUAGGUCACCAGGUCAGAUCAAAGGAAAAGCUAGUUUACACUGUAGAGGCCACAUUUAUGACCAAAUCUUAAUGAAACUUGGUCAGAAUGUUAAUCUUGUUGAUUUGUAUGUCAUGUUUAAAUCUGGGUUAGGUGGGGUUAAAAACUAGGUCACUAGAUCAAUUCAAAGGAAAAGCUUGUUAACUCUCUAGAGGCCACAUUUAUGACUGUAACUUCAUGAAACUUAGAGAGAAUGUUAAUCUUGGUUAUCUUUAGGUCAAGUUUGAAUCUGGGUCAUGUCGGGUCAAAAACUAGAUCACCGAGUAAAAUCAAAGAAAAAGCUUGUUAACACUCGAGGCCACAUUUAUGACUUUAUCUUCAUGAAACUUAUCCAAAAUGUUAAUCUUGGUGAUCUUUAGGUCAGUUUCGAAUCUGGGUCAUGUCAGGUCAAAUACUAGGUCACUGAGUCAGAUCAAAGAAAAAGCUUGUUAUCACUCAAGGGGUCACAAUUUUGGCCCAAACUUAAUGAAACUUGGUCAGAAUGUUACCCUUAAUAAAAUCUUGGACAGGUUUGCUAUUGGGUCAUCCGGGUUCUAACACUAGGUCACCAGGUCAAGUCAAGGGAAAAGCUUGUUAACACUGUAGAGGCCAGAUUUAUGACUGUAUCUUCAUGAGACUUGGUUUGAAUGCUAAUCUUGAUGAUCUCGAGGUCCAAUUUGAAUCUGGGUCAUGUAGGAUCGAAAACUAAAUCACCAGGUCAAAUCAAAGGAAAAGCUAGUUUACACUGUAAAGGCCACAUUUUUGACCAAAUCUUAAUGAAACUUGGUUAGAAUGUUAAUCCUGAUGGUUUAUAGGUCAUGUUUAAAUCUAUGUGAGGUGGGGUUAAAAACUAGAUCAAUUCUAAGGAAAAGCUUGUUAACUCUCUAGAGGCCAUAUUUAUGACUUUAUCUUCAUGAAACUUAGAGAGAAUGUUAUUCUUGGUGUUUUUAGGUCAAGUUUGAAUCUGGGUCAUGUUGGGUCAAAAACUAGGUCACCUAGUCAAAUCAAAGGAAAAGCUUGUUAACAUUCUAAAGGCCAAAUUUAUGACUGUAUCUUCAUGAAACUUAGUCAGAAUGUUAAUCUUGGUGAUCUUUAGGUCAAGUUCGAAUCUGGGUCAUGUCGGGUCAAAAACUAGGUCACCGGGUCAAAUCAAAGGAAAAGCUAUUAACCCUUUAGAGGCCACAUUUAUGAUCAUAUCUUAAUGAAACUUGGUCAGAAUAUUAAUCUUGAUGAUCUUUAGGUCUAUAGGUCAGGUGAGCGAUACAGGGCCUACAUGGCCAUCUUGUUUGUAAUGUAAACAGUUUGGACCUUGUAUUUUCCAGCUACGUUUGUAAUACACUUGUACAUAGUUUGUAUAUAACCUGUUCAUUCAUGUCAAAAUGCAUAGUAAGUUGUAAAUGCUCUCAAUGAAUCAAUAACAUAUGGGGCCUGGCAGAAGAGUGAUUAAGGAGGCCGACUUCGAGUCACGUACUUGCUUCUCUCUACUAAUGGUUUGAAAUGGGUCAGUGGUUCUACCUAGAUACCAGCCAAUGCCUAAAAAUGACGGGAGUACGCUUGGGGCCCCACCAUAUCAAAAGCAGAGAAGUUGCUAUAUGACAUCAUUGUGUUGACUGGCUGUUAAACAUAAUAAAAUGAUAACACAUACUCUCCAUUUAUCGAUGAUGUCCUCUGCAAAAUAAACUAUUUCAAUGGAGUUUGGAUUUGUGUAUUUGUCAAACUUGUAAAUAUGUAAAUAAACAUCACAUGUAUUUGCUGAGGUUGUGAAUAUGAAUGGGCAGCAGUGUUUAGGGUUUAGUUACCAAUGUGUAAUUUAUGUACAUAUUAUUGUUUAUUUACCACUGAUGUAACAGACACUGUGUUACAGUUCAGUCUUUAGAAUGGUGUAGUAAAAUAAGUUAAAAUAAUUUAGUUACAGUCUGUUCUAUAUAUAUAUAUAUAUAUAUAUUUCCGUUUGUACAUACAUGUAAUUUUAUUCCGUUAAGCUUUAAUGUAAAAUGUGUAUAUUAUUUUUGUCUUCAUUCAAACAAUGAUUAUGUUUGAAAUGUAAUGUGGAAUUUGUUAAAUGAACUCAGUAUACACUAUUUGGUCCAAGAGCAUGAGAAGGGAAAUAACCGCUGGAGUAGAAUGUGACCUGUACUAAAUAUCGGACAAUUGAUGUAUUACCACUGUUACCACCAGGUAACGAUUAGAAAAAAUCUCUAAGUCAUAUAUUUUCUGUCCAGUAAGGUAAAUUACAAGCAAAACAACCUUUACACAGUAUGAGUUUCUCUAAAUCUUUUUAUCAAAAUCAUAUUAGCCAUAUAAAUGAAGUUUGCUUGUGAGACGUUUUACAGUAUACUUGUUGAUAAAUUUGCUAGAAAAUUACUUUGACAAUUUUGAUAGUGGUGUUUCAGGUUUGGAUGUCUACAGCAUAAAGUAAACAGGCAAACCUGUAUAUAAAGGUCUUCCUUGCAAACGUCAAACAAUGGCCUUUGUGUUGGAGUGGCAUUUAUUCAUAGGUUAAAAUAAAGUAGAAAUAUUAAAUUUUGAAAUGAAAUUUACAGAACCUUUUUACUGUCAGUUGAGCUCAGCUCACGGGGAAUCAUUGGCAAAGGUUUGACUGUACAUGAUUAUUUCAUUUAAGAUAAACUAUUCAUAUUUUUUAAUCAUUUCAUCACAUAUUUCAACCAUAUCUUAUUUCUCAUCUUAUCAGAGAGAAACUAUAUCCAUGCAAUCUGUUGAAGACCUUUUAAGUUUCACCUAAAAUCAAAAAUUGGAAGUUUUCCUGUUUAAGCGCCUGUAAUAGUCCUUGACGUGUUUUAUUAAGGACUGAGGUAUUUGUUAAAAUGAUAAUGGUGUGGUAGUUGUUGAACUACUUUAAUAUAAUGACCAUGUUUGUUUCAAUACAUAUAUAAUACAUGGAUAUCACAAGUCUGUCAAAGAGGUAUUGUAGGAGAUAAAGCUUUUAUUUAUUUUUAGGCAUAAACAUCGAAACCAGUCCUUCAGAAGAUAAUAGGUACGGUAGAUUUCUCAGAAGCACAAAGCAUCGCCAGUACAACUGCAGUCCUUCAAGUUUCACUGAAACUUUUUUAUUAUUAUAAUGAAAGGCUGUUUUAGGAUAUGGAGCAUCUGAACCUCAUUACUUCAUUUUCUCUGAUAUUGUUUUUUUUUAUAUAUUAUUAAUCAGGCCAUUUUAGUAAAGGUACAAUUAUAGUACUAAAUAGGUAAUCCAGUCGCACUUCACUUCUUAGUGAAAGAUGCGGUCAUUGGAUAUCUUUAAUGUCUCAUGAACCGUGUUUUCAUGAGCCAGUAAGAAUGAUUUUGCCUGAACAACAUUUUAGUUUAAUUUUUCAUGACUUGUUUUCAUUAACCAGGAACGAUGACUUUGCCUAUACGCCUUAAUAAGUUUUAAUGUUUCUUGAAUCGUGUUUUCAUGAGCCAGGAACCAUGACUUUGCCCCUACAUCUUUAUUUUAAUGUUUCGUGAACCGUGUUUUUAUGAGAAAGGAACCAUGAUUUUACCUGUAAAUCUUAAGUAUAAUAUGCCAUGAACUGUAUUUUUAUGAGCCAAGAACCAUACUUUUGACUAUACAUCUUUAGUUAAGUGUUUCAUGAACCAUGUUUUGCCUGUUUUGUAAUUAUCAUAAUUGCGCCGUGCCAUGGGAAAACCAACAUAGUGGCUUUGCGACCAGCAUGGAUCCAGACCAGCCUGCGCAUCCGCGCAGUCUGGUCAGGAUCCAUGAUGUUCGCUUUCAAAGCCUGUUGCAAUUAGAGAAACUGUUAGCGAACAGCAUGGAUCCUGACCAGACUGCGCGGACAUGCUCAGGCUGGUCUGGAUGCAUGCUGGUCGCAAACCCACUAUGUUGGUUUUCCCAUGGCGCAGCUCAUAUGUUUAUGUUUAUCUUGCUAUCAAAUGUUAUGAUAUUUUCAAUGUAUUAGCUUACCGAAAUAUGUGCAAAACAUAUUUUACCAAUUAUAAACUUUAAUGUAAAAUGUUGUUCUAUUGAGAAUGUGUUGAAUUAAAAAGUAACAAUGAAAGUUA